rnacentral:rRNA from 1 species
UACGGGGGGGGCAAGCGUUGUUCGGAAUUACUGGGCGUAAAGGGCUCGUAGGCGGCCAACUAAGUCAGACGUGAAAGCCCCCGGCUUAACUGGGGAGGGUCAUUCGAUACUGUUCGACUUGAAGGCAGGAGAGGGCAGCAGAAUUCCCGGUGUAGUGGUGAAAUGCGUAGAUAUCGGGGGAAGAUACCAGUGGCGAAGGCGGCUGCCUGGCCUGUUCUUGACGCUGAGGCGCGAAAGCUGGGGGAGCAAACGGG